ensembl:lncRNA
ACUAACCCUAAGGGCACCCAAAGAAAUGAAAUUUGGCAAAUGGAUGUUCUCCAUUUUACAGAGUUUGGAGAAGAAAAGCUGUGGGUUCCUUCCAGGCUGAUAAAGAUCAGACAUGACAAGGGGAGACCUCCUGAAGUCCUCGGCAACACAGAAGAAAAGGGAGACUAAGACAAUCAACAAAUAGGUGAUGUAUAUAUGAGGAUGUCUAGGUCUCCGUGUAUGAACUGGCUAAAGUGUCUAUAAACAGCCAGUAACAUUUUGAGUACGAAUUUCUCAUAACUUGUUAUUACAUGCAUCCUGUAAAAUGGCAUGUAUGACAAAAUUAUGUUACAGUUUGAUUAUAUGAUCAAACUAACCUGAAGAAAGGCAGUCACCUUUCUUUGUUGAUCUUUAUUUUCUAAGCUGUGCACCCUGCUUACUCCAUGUGGAUGCGCUUACAGAACUAUAUGAUGCUUGUAAAGUUUGUGUGCUGCAGGAUGAAAGAAGAGAAAGACAGCCCUGAAAUGUUCCACACUCUGGGAUGCUGAGAUUCCGGGACCUUCCAGUCCAACUUCGUGUUUGAUUCUCCCUCAAUGACACUGAAGCUGCUUCAUUUAAAGGCCUGCUUUCAGAACUUUUCCAGAAUGGCCAGCUUACUUAUCCAGCCCUUCAGACUGUCAUAGUCAAGAGAACUCAAGAAGAACUGAGAAGGAAAGGCAUAGCAGUGGGAGUGAGAGCAUUAUGACUGGAACAUCAGAGCAGGCAGAAGGAGCAAGAUGAGGAGAAGAAAAGAGCAGAGAGACCUUUUCAGAGACCAAGAGAAAUCUUUCUUAGAGAACAUUUUGGAGAGUCUUUAGAAUUUUUUGAAAGGAGAAUUUUUGUAGAAACAUGGUGGAGAACUAAGGAACUUAGAAAUAAAGGCUAAAAUAACUUUUGAACAUGUCCAUUGUUCUUCCUGUGACUUCAACUAGCAUGCUGGCAGCUAGAGCUGAGCAGUUUCUGUAAAGACAGAACAAAGGCUGCAUUACUCAAUCACCCUGCUUUGCUCUGAGGUGCUAAACGCCAGAGACUACAGUUUCUGGCCUCAGAAGAACUCAAAAGGCAGGUCAGCUACCGCAGCAGAGUGCCUUAGACUUAGAAAGGUAAACAUUUUCCUAUCCAACCGCAACCCUAAAUAUCUCGCCCCUGCUGAGGCUCUUCUUCCUUGGCUUACAAGAGAGAAAAAGAGAGAAAGAACAGCCACGAAGGCCCCAUGCAGUGGUUGCUUGAAAGCCUUGAGUUCAAAGCAGAAGAAUCGAAUGACCUUUGGAGACGAUGCACUGUGACCUCACAUCUCGCCAUGCUAGGCCCCCAGCCUUUGUCUUUCCAGGAGACCAGCAGAACAGGCCUUCUCACAGGACUUGUUCACACAGCAGAAGGGACUUGGCCAAAGCACAGGUGCUCUCUGCAUCUUCCGGUGAAUCUCCCACCUGGCUCUAUGUGUUGCUUGUAAGGUUUACAGAAUAAAGCAUAGAAGACCAGGAGGCCAACCUUGACAGGAUUUACCUUCAGAGAUGCUGAGGUACUGAGACCUGCGGUUCCAGCUCCCUGACUGAUCCUGCCCCAAACUGAUGCUGUUUCCAGAGAAUUGUGUCUACAACGGUUUCAGGAAGGAAUGCUAAUCCCAGAUAUCCUUGGUCCAUCCUUUAGACUGGUCCAGUCAGGACUUUAAUUAAACCCUAAACUUUCUCAACACACAGAGAUUGGACAACAAAUCCAGCUACAGUUAGCUUUCGUAAGAUUAACCAAUUUUUAAUGUUCUUGGACCCUAAAAAGGAAUUUUUUUGCAAUUAUCAGAAGACCAUCAUCUCAGGCCCUUAAGCUGGGGGUAAAUGGUUCUGGUCAUUUUAUGAGUUAUAGAUAUGCUGUCAUUUUAGAGGAUGAUUGAAAGUGGAGAAAAUGAAACAGGGAGCCUGGCCUCAGGCAAUUCUCUCUUCCCUUUCCUCUCCUACAUACUUCCUUCUUUCCUAAAGGGAAGGGGGUGGAGAAGAAAAAAUAAGGACACAGAAAUAUUGUAAGAAAUUAGAUAAUUGGGGUAGAUUAUUAAACCUACACUUAAACCGAAAAAUAUUUUAUACCCAUAAUCGUACAUUGGUAGAGACCUUUAAACUUUGAUGAAAUAUUAUAUUUUGUUACAUUGGUAUUUUGUGUAUUAAUACAGGUGUAAACUUUACAUUAAAUCUUUUUUUUCAUGUUUAUUAACUUGGGUAUUUCUUAUUUACAUUUCGAUUGUUAUUCCCUUUCCCGGUUUCUGGGCCAACAUCCCCCUAACUCCUUCAACUCCCCUUUUGUAUGGGUGUUCCCCUCCCUAUCCUCCCCC